rnacentral:rRNA from 2 species
GUUAUAUGGUCAAGCGAAUAAGCGCACACGGUGGAUGCCUUGGCGGUCAGAGGCGAUGAAGGACGUGGCAGCCUGCGAAAAGUAUCGGGGAGCUGGCAACAAGCUUUGAUCCGGUAAUGUCCGAAUGGGGAAACCCACCCGCUUGCGGGUAUCCUGCAGUGAAUACAUAGCUGCUGGAAGCGAACCUGGUGAACUGAAAUAUCUAAGUAACCAGAGGAAAAGAAAUCAACCGAGAUUCCGUAAGUAGCGACGAGCGAACGCGGACUAGCCCUUAAGCUGAUUUGGUUCUAGGAAAACGCUCUGGAAAGAGCGGCCAUAGAAGGUGAUAGCCCUGUAUCUGAAAGGGCCAUUUCAGUGAAGACGAGUAGGGCGGGGCACGUGAAACCCUGUCUGAACAUGGGGGGACCAUCCUCCAAGGCUAAAUACUACUGACCGACCGAUAGUGAACCAGUACCGUGAGGGAAAGGCGAAAAGAACCCCGGAGAGGGGAGUGAAAUAGAACCUGAAACCGUGUGCGUACAAGCAGUAGGAGCUCCGCAAGGAGUGACUGCGUACCUUUUGUAUAAUGGGUCAGCGACUUACUGUUCGUGGCAAGCUUAACCGUAUAGGGGAGGCGAAGGGAAACCGAGUCUGAUAAGGGCGCAUAGUCGCGGGCAGUAGACCCGAAACCGGGUGAUCUAGUCAUGCCCAGGGUGAAGGUGCGGUAACACGCACUGGAGGCCCGAACCCACUCCCGUUGCAAAGGUAGGGGAUGAGGUGUGAUUAGGAGUGAAAAGCUAAUCGAACCCGGAGAUAGCUGGUUCUCCUCGAAAGCUAUUUAGGUAGCGCCUCAUAUGUAUCCUCUCGGGGGUAGAGCACUGUUAUGGCUAGGGGGUCAUCGCGACUUACCAAACCAUUGCAAACUCCGAAUACCGAGACGGACUGUAUGGGAGACACACGGCGGGUGCUAACGUCCGUCGUGAAAAGGGAAACAACCCAGACCCACAGCUAAGGUCCCAAAUUUUGUGCUAAGUGGAAAACCAUGUGGAAAGGCACAGACAGCCAGGAGGUUGGCUUAGAAGCAGCCACCCUUUAAAGAAAGCGUAAUAGCUCACUGGUCGAGUCGGUCUGCGGGGAAGAUUUAACGGGGCUAAGCACAGAACCGAAGCUUGGGGUGCAUAACUUUGUUAUGCGCGGUAGAGGAGCGUUCCGUAAGCCGUUGAAGGUGGAUUGAGAAGUCUGCUGGAGGUAUCGGAAGUGCGAAUGCUGACAUGAGUAACGAUAAUGCGGGUGAAAAACCCGCACGCCGAAAGCCCAAGGUUUCCUUGCGCAACGUUAAUCGGCGCAGGGUGAGUCGGCCCCUAAGGCGAGGACGAAAGUCGUAGUCGAUGGGAAGCAGGUUAAUAUUCCUGCACCUCGCGUAAGUGCGAUGGAGGGACGGAGAAGGUUAGGUGUACCAGGCGUUGGUUGUCCUGGGGAAAGGCGGUAGGUUUGGAUCUUUGGCAAAUCCGGGAUCCUCUAAGACCGAGCACCGAGACGAGCCUUUAUGGCGAAGUCACUGAUACCACGCUUCCAGGAAAAGCUCCUAAGCUUCAGCUUACGCAGACCGUACCGUAAACCGACACAGGUGGGUAGGAUGAGAAUUCUCAGGCGCUUGAGAGAACUCGGGUGAAGGAACUAGGCAACAUGGCACCGUAACUUCGGGAGAAGGUGCACCCUUUUUGGUGGCUCGUGCGAGCUAUAGCUGAAGAGGGUCGCAGUAACCAGGCCGCUGCGACUGUUUAUCAAAAACACAGCACUCUGCAAACACGAAAGUGGACGUAUAGGGUGUGACGCCUGCCCGGUGCUGGAAGGUUAAUUGAUGGGGUCAGCCGCAAGGCGAAGCUCUUGAUCGAAGCCCCAGUAAACGGCGGCCGUAACUAUAACGGUCCUAAGGUAGCGAAAUUCCUUGUCGGGUAAGUUCCGACCUGCACGAAUGGCGUAACGACAGCGGCGCUGUCUCCACCCGAGACUCAGUGAAAUUGAAAUCGCUGUGAAGAUGCAGCGUUCCCGUGGCAAGACGGAAAGACCCCGUGAACCUUUACUAUAGCUUUACACUGAACGUUGAGUUCGUCUGUGUAGGAUAGGUGGGAGGCUAUGAAACCAUGGCGCUAGCUGUGGCGGAGCCAUCCUUGAAAUACCACCCUGUCGUGCUUGACGUUCUAACCUGGGCCCAUUAUCUGGGUCGGGGACCGUGUAUGGUGGGUAGUUUGACUGGGGCGGUCUCCUCCUAAAGAGUAACGGAGGAGCUCGAAGGUACGCUCAGCGCGGUCGGACAUCGCGCACUGUGUGCAAAGGCAUAAGCGUGCUUGACUGCAAGAUCGACGGAUCAAGCAGGUAGGAAACUAGGACUUAGUGAUCCGGUGGUUCUGUAUGGAAGGGCCAUCGCUCAACGGAUAAAAGGUACUCCGGGGAUAACAGGCUGAUACCGCCCAAGAGUUCAUAUCGACGGCGGUGUUUGGCACCUCGAUGUCGGCUCAUCACAUCCUGGGGCUGUAGUCGGUCCCAAGGGUAUGGCUGUUCGCCAUUUAAAGUGGUACGCGAGCUGGGUUCAGAACGUCGUGAGACAGUUCGGUCCCUAUCUGCCAUGGGCGUUGGAGAUUUGAGAGGGGCUGCUCCUAGUACGAGAGGACCGGAGUGGACGAACCUCUGGUGUUCCGGUUGUCACGCCAGUGGCAUUGCCGGGUAGCUAUGUUCGGAAGCGAUAACCGCUGAAAGCAUCUAAGCGGGAAGCGCGCCUCAAGAUGAGAUCUCCCGGGGCACAAGCCCCCUGAAGGAACCAUGUAGACUACGUGGUUGAUAGGUCAGGUGUGUAAGUACAGCAAUGUAUUGAGCUAACUGAUACUAAUGAUCCGUGCGGCUUGACCAUAUAACCU